rnacentral:lncRNA from 1 species
CUCUCGAGAAGCUGAGGAUUUUACUAUAUCUUCUCCAGUUUUUUUCUUAUAUCUCCUUGCACCUAUGAAGGAAGGAAGCAUUCCUUUCCUAAGUGGAAAUAGUAUGUUGGACUUCCUAUAUUAAUUACUAAUUAUUAUUAGCUGAUAUUAAUUAUUAAUUAAAAUAUAUUAUCUAUUUAGAAAUACUCUGGACCUAUCUCAUCCUCAGACUGUGAAAAGUUCAAUGACCAAAGGUCUUCUGCUCUCUGAAAGAACAUGAAUUGUCCAAGAAAACCCAACAAGAGUCGGGAUGGUAUAAACAUUAAAGAACUAAGUCACAGCUAGAAACUAAUAGUCAUAGAGAUGCCAUAAAUGGAAAACAAGGAAGAAAUGAUGACUUAAACAUUCAAGAGUGGAGCUUAAGAGCAAUGAACUGGAAUAAGGUCAAAAUACUAAAGGUCUAUGAAGAAAAUCACAUAGUUGGAAAAAAGGAUGGAUAUCCUGAUAGGCAAAUAAUGAAAAUGAGUUGGAACUCACAGAUACACUGAGAAAGGACUCAUGAAUGCUGAGAGAUCUACUGAUCACACUUUGACCACAGCUAGAAUACUGGAUACUUGAAAUUAUACUUGAAAUCAGAAAGAACUAGAUUCAAAUUCUGCCUCUGAAAAUUUCCUAGUUAUAUCAUCACAAGUAAGUCACUUUACUCUUCUGACCAUAAAUGUCCUCAUUGAUAAAAUGGGGAUAUUAAUGCCUGUGAAUUUCUUCACACUAAUUGUGAGUCUCGGAUGAGAUAAUGGGUGUAAAAUACUUUGCAAAGUUAAAGUGUUAUACAUAUAUGAAUCAUUUUAAUUUCAGAAAAAAAAUAUCAAGACAGGCAUAUUUAGAGCAAACAUCAGAGGAGAGGAACAUUCCAAAUGAUGGCUGGACAAUGGUGAUAAAUACAGUCUCUCUCAGUUUCACAGAGAUAUAAAUUCUGUCAAAGAAAAUUCAAAAGGAGUCUCUCAAGAGCCAGUAAGAGUUAACUCCAACAUGACCCUGAUGCUGCCCUAAAAACCAAGUCAACUCCAAACAAGCAGAGUAUCCUCAACUUUGUAAUGGACCCAAACUUCCAAGUCAAACCAGCGUUGGAAGAGUGACGGCUUGGAAACAAGUUGGACCACUUGUUGCAGUUCUUGAAUGAAGCACAAAUGCUACCCUGGUCCAAUCCUAGUUCCACUUGUUCUUCUAUCUUAUUUGUUCUUUCCAUCAAUUGUUUGUUUUUCUUUUGGUUCAAAUAUCCUGACUUUUAAAAUAAACUCGAACCAUAAUAUAGGAUACA